CCAGCAGUGCGGGNUGCUAUACAUGCAGUAGAACGCUGAAGAGAGGAGCUUGCUCUUCUUGGAUGAGUUGCGAACGGGUGAGUAACGCGUAGGUAACCUGCCUUGUAGCGGGGGAUAACUAUUGGAAACGAUAGCUAAUACCGCAUAACAAUGGAUGACACAUGUCAUUUAUUUGAAAGGGGCAAUUGCUCCACUACAAGAUGGACCUGCGUUGUAUUAGCUAGUAGGUGAGGUAAUGGCUCACCUAGGCGACGAUACAUAGCCGACCUGAGAGGGUGAUCGGCCACACUGGGACUGAGACACGGCCCAGACUCCUACGGGAGGCAGCAGUAGGGAAUCUUCGGCAAUGGGGGCAACCCUGACCGAGCAACGCCGCGUGAGUGAAGAAGGUUUUCGGAUCGUAAAGCUCUGUUGUAAGUCAAGAACGGGUGUGAGAGUGGAAAGUUCACACUAUGACGGUAGCUUACCAGAAAGGGACGGCUAACUACGUGCCAGCAGCCGCGGUAAUACGUAGGUCCCGAGCGUUGUCCGGAUUUAUUGGGCGUAAAGCGAGCGCAGGCGGUUUGAUAAGUCUGAAGUUAAAGGCUGUGGCUCAACCAUAGUUCGCUUUGGAAACUGUCAAACUUGAGUGCAGAAGGGGAGAGUGGAAUUCCAUGUGUAGCGGUGAAAUGCGUAGAUAUAUGGAGGAACACCGGUGGCGAAAGCGGCUCUCUGGUCUGUAACUGACGCUGAGGCUCGAAAGCGUGGGGAGCGAACAGGAUUAGAUACCCUGGUAGUCCACGCCGUAAACGAUGAGUGCUAGGUGUUGGAUCCUUUCCGGGAUUCAGUGCCGCAGCUAACGCAUUAAGCACUCCGCCUGGGGAGUACGACCGCAAGGUUGAAACUCAAAGGAAUUGACGGGGGCCCGCACAAGCGGUGGAGCAUGUGGUUUAAUUCGAAGCAACGCGAAGAACCUUACCAGGUCUUGACAUCCCGAUGCUAUUUCUAGAGAUAGAAAGUUACUUCGGUACAUCGGUGACAGGUGGUGCAUGGUUGUCGUCAGCUCGUGUCGUGAGAUGUUGGGUUAAGUCCCGCAACGAGCGCAACCCCUAUUGUUAGUUGCCAUCAUUCAGUUGGGCACUCUAGCGAGACUGCCGGUAAUAAACCGGAGGAAGGUGGGGAUGACGUCAAAUCAUCAUGCCCCUUAUGACCUGGGCUACACACGUGCUACAAUGGUUGGUACAACGAGUUGCGAGUCGGUGACGGCGAGCUAAUCUCUUAAAGCCAAUCUCAGUUCGGAUUGUAGGCUGCAACUCGCCUACAUGAAGUCGGAAUCGCUAGUAAUCGCGGAUCAGCACGCCGCGGUGAAUACGUUCCCGGGCCUUGUACACACCGCCCGUCACACCACGAGAGUUUGUAACACCCGAAGUCGGUGAGGUAACCUUUGGAGCCAGCCGCCUAAGGUGACAGAUGAUGGG
rnacentral:rRNA from 1 species